AAGUCGUAACAAGGUUUCCGUAGGUGAACCUGCGGAAGGAUCAUUAACACGAUUUUAUAUCCAUUUAUUAACCACAGUGUCAUGAAGCUUCGGCUUCAGUUUCCUCUCAUUUCAAUUAUGAACCCUUUGAAACUAUUCAGACUCAAACUCCAAAUUCAUUUUGGACCAGCUCUUCGGAGCCAAGCCAAAACGAAUCAAUAAACGAACAAGAAACAACUCUUAGCGACGGAUUUCUUGGCUCCC
rnacentral:misc_RNA from 1 species